CAGUCGCCGCGGGAAUACGUAGGUCCCGAGCGUUGUCCGGAUUUAUUGGGCGUAAAGGGAGCGCAGGCGGUCAGGAAAGUCUGGAGUAAAAGGCUAUGGCUCAACCAUAGUGUGCUCUGGAAACUGUCUGACUUGAGUGCAGAAGGGGAGAGUGGAAUUCCAUGUGUAGCGGUGAAAUGCGUAGAUAUAUGGAGGAACACCAGUGGCGAAAGCGGCUCUCUGGUCUGUCACUGACGCUGAGGCCCGAAAGCGUGGGUAGCGAACAGGAUUAGAUACCCCAGUAGUCCCUGUCUCUUAUACC
rnacentral:rRNA from 1 species